GUGCGGUAGUUCAGUUGGUUAGAAUACCGGCCUGUCACGCCGUAGGUCGCGAGUUCGAGUCUCGUCCGCAC
rnacentral:tRNA from 1 species